CAAAGUAUAGCUUAACUAAAGCAUUUCGCUUACACCGAAAAAAUAUCUGUCAAACACAGUUUACUUUGA
rnacentral:tRNA from 1 species